UUCUGGAAUUGAGAGGGAAGGAAACUCAUAUCAAACAAAGAGCAUAUGUUCCACAUGUUAAUCGUUUUCCACAAGCUCAGACUGAGUCAAAAAUCACUAAUGUCUCCUUCUCCAUUAAGCCGGAGCUCACCACCAGCGGUGGUGGAGCAACAAUCAUCAAAAUAAAAAAUGCCAGACCACUCUAAAUUCCAUUCUAUAUUCGAAUCACCACCUAAUUUCAUCUGAAACAACCUAAAUCUAUCAAAUCGUGCAAAAUCUAUCAAAAACCCUAACCACUAAAAUCAAAAUUAAAUGAUUGAUUGGAGGAAUCAAAGUCCCUGGUGUUAGGGAUUUGUUUCCUUGGCCCCUAAGCUACAUAUGUGUAACAAGGAUGAAAGGAAUCAAGAAGGAAAAAAUCAAGAAGGAAAAAAUUAUCUCCAGAGCAGAGAUUUGCUCCGAUGAGUUGUUGCGGUGAGGACGAAGCUUGCACUGAGGAAUCACUUGAAGUCAGGUUGAAAUGUUUUGUCAUUGCAUGUGCUUGAAAAUUGUGGUUGUGACUCAAUUGCAAAGUACUUGGACACUUUUGGACAAACUUAGCAGGUUUCGAUGCAAGGCAUGGCUUGUUUGGAAAUUGCAAGUUACAGGUGACCUGCUGGAUUUGGUGAAAUCAAGUUUCUUCACUUUUUCCUGCAUGAGAAUUAUUGUUACAUGUUGGUGCAGUUGGUGCAAUCUUUGCUAAAGUAAAUGCAUUGCCGUCUCAAUGUUUGAUCCAAUGAAACUUGUAUUGCCUUAUUGACAGGGUUGUUGACUUGGCAAUUGGACAUUUAAGGCAUGGCAAAAAGACAUACUUGGUGCAAAAGUGAGGUUUUCUUACUCAUGAAGAAAUUGAUCAUGGAAUCACAUGGAAAGGUGAAAGAAUGAAGAUACAAUGUGCAUUAGGGUUUAGGAGAUGAAAAAUAGGUCAGUUGACUUUGGUCAACUGGUUGACCAAAAAGUCAAUUGUUGACCAAAAGUCGACUUUUGACAAAAAAUGUAUUUUUUAUAUUUCUUUUGUAUGGACAAUGUAAAGUGACAAUUGUAUGAAUGAAUGGACAUUUUUUUUGAAUA